rnacentral:sRNA from 1 species
UAAGAAAGAACAUGUAGGCUCAUAGAAGGGCUCUGGUUUAGAUACUAGGUGAACUAAUCAAACUUGAUAAUAAUGCAUGUUUA